rnacentral:lncRNA from 1 species
CAGAGAAAUAAAAGCGUCAAAAUUAAUUGACGUCAAAUACUCCAACAAUAGGAAAUGUUCAAUCAUGAACCAUAGCAUGCAUUAUUAUUUCAAAUAAAAGUCCACUCACUAAUUAGGCCUAAGCCUGAUGUCGAUCUGGGGUCUCGUCUGCUCGAGCCUCCUCACGUCCUGUUCCAAAUAUAAUAUUAAUUUCCCAACCAAUAAUCCAAUAUUUAAUCAAAAUAGGCAAAAUUACCCGAGAGCCAUAAUUACGCUCAUCAUUGCCUAACUUCGAUAUUCUUACAUCGGAAAAAUCCGAACUUAAAUAUCAUACUCAACAGUCGUAAAUACAACCUCCCCAAAAUACGACUUAAAUCCUACGGCCGGAUUCUACAUUAAUUAACCGCCAAAAAUUCCAAACUUCGGAAAUUCACAAACCUAUCCAAAUCUCAUCCAAAAAUUCCAAAAUUCACUUCAAUAAUAUCCCCUUAAUAUUCUACAUCAAAAACCACAAAAUUUCCCAAAACAGCGGCGGCCGGCGACCAACUCCGGCGACCUGCAAAUGCUACCAAAUUUUAACAGAAUCUUCCUCUCAAUCUCCUCUACAACUUUCAUGACCAACACAUCACCCAAUUCCAAGCCUAACUAGGCUAAUCGAACAAAAACAACUUAAAAGCCUAGAAAUUUCAACUCCACAUUUCUCCUUACCUAGCUCAAGAGGGAGGGAGCUGCUUGGAGGGGUUGUUGCACGGGAGGAGGGCUACAAAUUGAGCCAACAAUCUCGGCCUAUGGUGGCCGGAGGACGGAGCUCCGGCGAAGGGACAGUCGGCGGUUCCGGCGGCUUUUUCUUCUCUUCGGCGGCACCACCGGCUCGGACACUAGGCCGGGGAGGGAGAGGAGGUGACGGGGGUCCGAUCUGGGCUGGAGCGGCGGCUGGUGGGUGGCCGGACGGCGGCAGUCGACGGCUGGAAGUCCGGCGGGAAGAGAGAGCUCGGGGAGAGAGAAAGGAAAAGAGGGAAGAAGAGAAAGGGAGAAAAAAAAGAAAAUGGGUUGGGCCUCCAACGGUCCGACCUAUAUCAACCCAAUUCCAAAAAAAAUGAAACACCCCGAAAAAAAAUACCCGAAUAAAAAUUACCUUUUACUAGCUAAAA